UGAAAAAGGAGGUCACCUUAAUGCAGUUGGAAGUAUAAGCACUUACGAACAUUCUCGACGCAUGGCUAAAAGGUUGGGGAGACAACCACUCAUGAUCGAGUUGGUUAAAGAAACUAGGACAAAAAAAUCGGGUGAUUUAGUUGACGAGCGUACUCGAAAAGCUUUGGAGGAUUAUCAAACAAAGCUUGUGGAUUUUUUGGUCGCUAAUCCCAAAUAUACUCCUAGAGAAGGAGAGCCGCUUCAUCCAGAUGUUGAUUU